rnacentral:rRNA from 1 species
UACGUAGGUGGCAAGCGUUGUCCGGAAUUAUUGGGCGUAAAGCGCGCGCAGGCGGUCCUUUAAGUCUGAUGUGAAAGCCCACGGCUCAACCGUGGAGGGUCAUUGGAAACUGGGGGACUUGAGUGCAGAAGAGGAAAGCGGAAUUCCACGUGUAGCGGUGAAAUGCGUAGAGAUGUGGAGGAACACCAGUGGCGAAGGCGACUCUCUGGUCUGUAACUGACGCUGAGGCGCGAAAGCGUGGGGAGCAAACAGG